GCCAGACUGAUAUCUUUAGCAGAAGAUA
rnacentral:piRNA from 1 species